rnacentral:rRNA from 1 species
UGAGUAAUGGGUAGGAACGUACCUUUUGGUGGGGAAUAACUCCGAGAAAUCGAAGCUAAUACCGCGUAAGGACGCAAGUCGAAAGAGGGCCUCUAUUUAUAAGCUCUUGCCAAAAGAUCGGCCUAUCUUCCAAUAGCUAGUUGGUAGGGUAAAGGCCUACCAAGGCGACGAUGGAUAGCUGGUUUGAGAGGAUGAUCAGCCACACUGGAACUGAGACACGGUCCAGACUCC